AUUGAACGCUGGCGGCAGGCCUAACACAUGCAAGUCGAACGGUAACAGGAAGCAGCUUGCUGCUUUGCUGACGAGUGGCGGACGGGUGGGUAAUGUCUGGGAAACUGCCUGAUGGAGGGGGAUAACUACUGGAAACGGUAGCUAAUACCGCAUAACGUCGCAAGACCAAAGAGGGGGACCUUCGGGCCUCUUGCCAUCGGAUGUGCCCAGAUGGGAUUAGCUAGUAGGUGGGGUAACGGCUCACCUAGGCGACGAUCCCUAGCUGGUCUGAGAGGAUGACCAGCCACACUGGAACUGAGACACGGUCCAGACUCCUACGGGAGGCAGCAGUGGGGAAUAUUGCACAAUGGGCGCAAGCCUGAUGCAGCCAUGCCGCGUGUAUGAAGAAGGCCUUCGGGUUGUAAAGUACUUUCAGCGGGGAGGAAGGGAGUAAAGUUAAUACCUUUGCUCAUUGACGUUACCCGCAGAAGAAGCACCGGCUAACUCCGUG
rnacentral:rRNA from 1 species